GGCUGUGUGGUCGAGCUGGUAUGGUCUCGCUUAGGGUGCGAGAGGUCCCAGAGUUCAAUUCUCGAGCUUUGCAGCCC